UUUCAUCAAAUUGGAAGAUAUUUGCCGCAAUAAUUGGUUUGUUUAUGUCAAUUUGUACACAUCAUAUUAAAUAAAUGUUUUGUCCGAGUGUUUUCCAAAAAUGAAUGAUGUCAACCUAAAGUAUGGACAUGGUUACAUUUAAACUGUGUAUUUGUUUAGGGUUCGAUUUGGGCUUGAUUUUCACAUUUUAGAUUUACUAUAAAUAUAUAUGGAGCCCAAAAAUCUCUCCAAAACAACCUUUGUGGAGAAAAAGAAACUCUAACAUAUAUAAUCACUUAUAAGACGGUGUCACGCCGAUGUAGAAUACACUAACACUCCCCUCAAAGUCAGAGACUCAAUGAGGAUAGACAAUGAUGUGUUGAGCAACCGGAAUGCGGGACAUCAGCUCCGAUACCGUGUUGGAUUGGUGGAAAAAACCCCUUAGGGGUUACGUUGUAUUAUCACUUGAAUAUAUAUUACACAAAGUUACAAUGAGACCCCUAAUACUAUUCAUCAAAUAUUAAAAUACAUAUAAUUUAACAUUUACAUAUAUUGUUCUUUAAUUAUGUUUAAAUUUGAUUUGGACUUUCAAAUGAUAGAAAAAUAAAAGUAUAUUGUUAGUUUGUGUAAAAAUAGAAACUCAAAUUAUGUAUUAAUGUAAUAAAAACUCUUUUUUCAAUGUCAUAAGGCCAAAGCUCAAGUGACCUAAUGGACAGCGGGAGAUUGUGAGUUCAAGUCUCAUCGCGAUCGAUUUAUGAUUUGUUUUCCAUUGAUGAUAUUGAGUGAAGUUAUAUGUUCAUUCAAAACAAUGGAUUUAAACACUGAUUUUUCUUGUUUACAUGGGCAAAUUUGAUGUUCAAAACCAUUGUUGAUAGUGGCUAGACGAAGAUUAUUUAGUUGGUUAAACAUUCAAUUAACAAUAUGUUCAUUCAGAACAAUGGAUUUAAACAUUGAUUUUUCUUUGUUACGUGGGCAAAUUUGAUGUUUGAAACCAUCAUUCAUAGUGGCUAAUUACAGUGGUUAUUUAGUCGGUAAAAUAUUAAUUAACCACUAAAUCAACUCGAGAUCUAUACCUUUAAGGUAGCGUUAGGUGCGUGGGACUGAACAGAAUUGAAUAAACCAAAGUUUUUUCAAUAGGUGUUUGGCAUAAAUGAGACUUGAACAAGACGGGUUGUUGACCAAGUCCAAUGGGACUAAUUCUCCAAAAUUUAGUCCCACCCAAGAUGGUGGAACAAGAAACAAAAUGACCAAAAACUCCUUACCCUAUUCUCAUCUAUAUGUCUACCAUCCACACAACCCUUUCAUCUUCCUCGUUGGAAUUGGUGUUACCACCCUUCCCCAUCCAUUUUCAGGUGCUAGUCUAUCUAGAGAAAAAAAAAAAAAAAAGNAUGUCUACCAUCCACACAACCCUUUCAUCUUCCUCGUUGGAAUUGGUGUUACCACCCUUCCCCAUCCAUUUUCAGGUGCUAGUCUAUCUAGAGAAAAAAAAAAAAAAGAAAAAAAAAAGAAAAAAAAAAAGGUCCUUUGUGUUUUAC
rnacentral:lncRNA from 1 species